rnacentral:rRNA from 1 species
AACGUAGGAGACAAACGUUAUCCGGAGUUACUGGGCGUAAAGGGCGUGUAGGUGGUUAUGUAAGUCUGGCGUGAAAUUUUUCGGCUUAACCGGGAAAGGUCGUCGGAUACUGCACAACUAGAGUACGGUAGAGGCGUGUGGAAUUCCGGGUGUAGUGGUGAAAUGCGUAGAGAUCCGGAGGAACACCAGUGGCGAAGGCGACACGCUGGGCCGUACCUGACGCUGAGGAGCGAAAGCGUGGGGAGCAAACAGG